UAAUUUGUUUGAAAUUCAAAGAACCUGGCGGUACUUUAGUCUAGUUAGAGGAACCUGUUAUAUAAACGAUAAACCACGUAGAAUCUUUCUUGUUCUUGUAUAGCCAGUAUACCUUCAUUGUUAGAUAAUUUUAUAUAUGAAUUAUUGGAAUCGAGAAAAUCAAGUAUAUUAGAUCAAGGUGCUGCUAAUGAGCAAGUAUAAAUGGGUUACAAUAUUUUAAAAGAGGCUGAUUAUAGUGAGAAUUCACUAUGUGAGGAUGGAUUUAAUUGUAAGUUUAAAUUUAGUAAGGUAAAGUGAUAAUAGCUCUAAAGUGUGUACAUAUUGCCCGUCGCUUUCAUUAAAUCAGAUGAGAUAA
rnacentral:rRNA from 1 species